UUGUAGCAAUACAAGGCAGACGGCUCAGUAACGCGUAGUCAACCUACCCUAUGGACGAGAAUAACCUCGGGAAACUGAGAAUAAUGCUCGAUAGAACAUUAUACCUGGAACGGUUUAUGUUUCAAAUGAUUUAUCGCCGUAGGAUGGGACUGCGGCCUAUCAGUUUGUUGGUGAGGUAAUGGCCCACCAAGACUAUUACAGGUACGGGCUCUGAGAGGAGUAGCCCGGAGAUGGGUACUGAGACACGGACCCAGGCCCUAUGGGGCGCAGCAGGCGAGAAAACUUUGCAAUGUGCGAAAGCACGACAAGGUUAAUCCGAGUGGUUUCUGCUAAAGGAACCUUUUGUCAGUCCUAGAAACACUGAUGAAUAAGGGGUGGGCAAGUUCUGGUGUCAGCCGCCGCGGUAAAACCAGCACCUCAAGUGGUCAGGAUGAUUAUUGGGCCUAAAGCAUCCGUAGCCGGCUCUGUAAGUUUUCGGUUAAAUCUGUACGCUUAACGUACAGGCUGCCGGGAAUACUGCAGAGCUAGGGAGUGGGAGAGGUAGACGGCACUCGGUAGGAAGGGGU
rnacentral:rRNA from 1 species